rnacentral:rRNA from 1 species
UACGUAGGGGCAAGCGUUGUCCGGAAUCAUUGGGCGUAAAGAGCGCGUAGGCGGUUCCGGUAAGUCCGCUCUGAAAGUCCGGGGCUCAACCCCGGGAGGCGGGCGGAUACUGUCGGGCUAGAGUCCGGAAGAGGCGAGUGGAAUUCCGUGGUGUAGCGGUGAAAUGCGCAGAUAUCAGGAGGAACACCAGUGGCGAAAGGCGGCUCACUGGCUCGACACUGACGCUGAGGUGCGAAAGCGUGGGGGAGCAAACAGG